UGUCAUGAGAAGAAACAAGGUAGAUAUGGCUGGUUCGGGCUAUCUCAAGCGCAUGGGAGCUCUACAAGCUAUGGUGAUCUUCGUACUUUGUUGCUUCUCAAGCUUAGCAAGAUCUGUGACCCAGACGAAGGAAGAGCUUUACAUUAACCAUAUCUCCGCCACCUCACAAGGAAUAGAAGAACUGAGACCUCUGCCUCCACACAUGAGAUUUCCGAUGCUGCCAAGAGGCAUACCUAUCCCUCCAUCCGGGCCUUCCAAAAGUAGCCCACCUGAGGGUCCACCCGCACGCAUAAGAUUUCCGAUGCUGCCAAGAGGCGUACCUAUCCCUCCAUCCGGGCCUUCCAAAGGUAGCCCACCUAAGGGUCCACCCGCACGCAUGAAAUUUCCGAUGCUACCAAGAGGCGUGCCCAUCCCUCCAUCCGGGCCUUCCAAAGGUAGCCCACCUGAGGGUCCACCCGCACGCAUGAGAUUUCCGAUGUUGCCAAGAGGCGUGCCCAUCCCUCCAUCCGGGCCUUUCAAAGGUAGCCCACCCGAAGGUCCACCCGCACGCAUGAGAUUUCCGAUGCUGCCAAGAGGCGUGCCCAUCCCUCCAUCCGGGCCUUCCAAAGGUAGCCCACCUAAGGGUCCACCCGCACGGGCCUUCCGCAAAUAGCCCAUCCGAGGGUCCUGAUCCCAUCGCCUUGGUGCGUGUACCAAGGAGGCCUUCUUUUCAGCCCUAAACGUCAUGGAGUCGGCCUCCUUCCAUUGCAUCCAGCAUAAUAAGAUUUGCUAUGUCACUAACGGGGGGCCAACCCAAAAUAAGUUUUCAAGAAUGCAUUAAUAUAAAUAAAAGGUCAUAUUCUUAAUA